CAACAGACACAUUGGGUUUGGCUGCGAUGCACUAAUGCUCAAAUUUGUGUGUUUUUGAUUUGUAUUAACCAACCUUGGUGUUUGUACAGGGUGUCCCAUGUUGGUUACGAGUGUUUCCAGUCCAUGUAGAGAAAAACUGAGACGAGUAAACAUCUCAAUUUUUUAAAAUAUUAUUUUUAAUUAAUAUGUUAUUAAAUAUCUGGUAAAUUUCGAAAUAUUUAAUGUUAUCGUCUAUAAAAAUUUAUUUUGUUUAUAUAUUUUUAAAAGCAAACUCAUGUAAAAAUUGUGAUAUAAUUACCAAUUAUCAAAUAUAUUGUCAAUGGUUAAGUUCGUCAAAUAUUUAUAUGUUUCAAAUACGAAAAUUCCACUUAUUUAUUAUAAUUUUAUGGGGAACGGGAAAAGGUAGUGAUUUAAAUUUUUUAUAGCAAUUAUAACUUGUUGAUUGACAAUUGAUUUACUCUUCUAAUUUAUUUUGAACAAAAUGACUUCAACUUUGUUAUUUUUAAUGGAACACCCUGUAUAUUUUUUGAUUUUUAAAUUCUACAUGUAAUUGCAAAUAACAUUGUUAUACUAUGUCCUUUACCUAAACCCAAUAGUUUUUGAGUUAUUAAUUUUCAUUCAUUCAAGUUCAUUUUUAGUAUACACAAUAAUUAAGGAUCAUCCUUUAAGAAUCCACUAUUAGAACUUUCAAAUUUUAAACAGGGUGUUCCUUAUUUACGUUUAUUUUUGUGCGUCAUAAAACAUCAAUUUCUAAAGAUAUCAUAAACAUCAAUAAACAUUAGUUAAAAAUUGAGCUCUGGACACUUAAGUCAGUUCUUCUCUAUCUGGUCAACCAAUUUGGUACACAUUCCUUUAGUAUUUUAAUUAACUCAACAAAACUUAAUGAUUCGUUUCCAUUAGAAUAUAAAAAAAUGAAACACGUUCUAAUCAUACUUUGAAGACCACUUAAACGGACGUUAACAGAAUUGUUUAAUGCUAACUAGUGCGUAAAUUAACUAAAGUGUUUUCUACAAGCUAUAGGAGGACAUGCGGCAUCAUGCAUAUUGCUCUGCUACUUUAUCCUUGAUACCUGGCAAUGCGGUUGGUUUUGGUGGAUCUUUGCGAUUGGUUCGGUUUUGCCUUGUUUGAAUGAUAUUUGUAAUGUUAUCGAUGUUCUUAUUAACAGAAAAUAUUAAUUUAUACACCACUAGUCUCAAAAAAGGAUUUGCUGUCGUAAUAGGUGUAUAAAUUUUAUUUUCGCAAUUAAAUUAAACAAAUUCUGUUCUAGUCAUAUCACAAUUAUAUAUUUAUAAGACUGUCACUUUUUAUAAAAGGUUUUGUAAGAAUAAAAUAUUUUAAUUUUACGGACGUUUCAUUGCUUUAUCUAAGUUAAUCAAUUGUUUGUGACGUCUGGAAGAUGAGUUUUCUUUAAUCUGAAAUUAAGAUUAUGUUUUGAUGUUAAUAUUUAAUAGAAUUUAUAAUUAAACUGAUAAGUUUUAAUUAAUUUUUAUUCAUAUAUAAAUCCAGUUCUUUUUACCAUUAUUAGCUUUUGUUAAAUUGUGAGUAUGGCAUCUGGUCAUGAGGUAAUAAUUGUUAUUUUUAAUUUUACACAUUUUUUACUUAAACAUUUCUACCAAACGUCACAAUCAACUAUCAUUAUUAAUUUCAUCGUUGGACAUACUUCGACACUAAUUUUAAUAUUUUAUUAAUUACGAAUAUGUUCAUAUGCAAAUCGACUUCCAUACAAAAGUACGUAUUUGAUGUGUGACGAGAAUGUGUUAACUAAACAUUGAAUAAAAUAUCAAUAAUUACUCAC